rnacentral:rRNA from 1 species
AUGAACGCUAGCGACAGGCUUAACACAUGCAAGUCGAGGGGCAGCAUAAAGGUAGCAAUACUUUGGUGGCGACCGGCGCACGGGUGAGUAACGCGUAUGCAACCUACCUUCAACAAGGGGAUAGCCCGGCGAAAGUCGGAUUAAUACCCUAUAAAACAGGGGUCCCGCAUGGGAAUAUUUGUUAAAGAUUUAUCGGUUGAAGAUGGGCAUGCGUAACAUUAGGUAGUUGGUGAGGUAACGGCUCACCAAGCCCACGAUGUUUAGGGGUUCUGAGAGGAAGGUCCCCCACACUGGUACUGAGACACGGACCAGACUCCUACGGGAGGCAGCAGUGAGGAAUAUUGGUCAAUGGGCGAGAGCCUGAACCAGCCAAGUCGCGUGAAGGAAGACGGCCCUACGGGUUGUAAACUUCUUUUAUAGGGGAAUAAAAAGAGCUACGUGUAGUUUAUUGCAUGUACCCUAUGAAUAAGCAUCGGCUAACUCCGUGCCAGCAGCCGCGGUAAUACGGAGGAUGCGAGCGUUAUCCGGAUUUAUUGGGUUUAAAGGGUGCGUAGGUGGACUCUUAAGUCAGUGGUGAAAGUUUGUCGCUCAACGAUAAAAUUGCCAUUGAAACUGGGGGGUCUUGAGUAUGGAUGAAGUAGGCGGAAAUGCGUGGUGUAGCCGUGAAAUGCUUAGAGAUCACGCAGAACUCCGAUGCGAGGCAGCUUACUAAGGCAUAACUGACCACUGAAGCACGAAGCGUGGUAUCCAAACAGGACUAGAUACCAUGCUAGUUCCACGCAGUAAACCGAUGCAUUAACCUAGAAGUUGCGAUAUA